rnacentral:rRNA from 1 species
GGCUGCGAUCAUACCAGCACUAACGCACCGGAUCCCAUCAGAACUCCGAAGUUAAGCGUGCUUGGGCGAGAGUAGUACUAGGAUGGGUGACCCCCUGGGAAGUCCUCGUGUUGUAUCCC